rnacentral:rRNA from 1 species
CAGUCGCCGCGGUAAUAUAGAGGAUGCAAGCAUUAUCCGGAAUGAUUGGGCGUAAAGCGUCUGUAGGUGGCUUUUCAAGUCCGCCAUCAAAUCCCAAGGCUCAACUCUGGACAGGCGGUGGAAAAUACCAAGCUGGAGUACGGUAGGGGCAGAGGGAAUUUCCGGUGGAGCGGUGAAAUGCGUAGAUAUGCGGAGGAACACCGAUGGCGAAGGCAACCCCCUGGGCCUGCACUGACGCUCAUGCACGAAAGCGUGGGGAGCAAACAGGAUUAGAUACCCCCGUAGUCCCUGUCUCUUAUAC